ACCCAAUACUGAUUCGGUGAGGUAGUGACAAGAAAUACCAAUAUAGGACCCAACGGGUACUAUGUUUGGAAUGAGUACAAUUUAAAAACCUUAACGAGGAACAAUUGGAGGGCAAGUCUGGUGCCAGCAGCCGCGGUAAUUCCAGCUCCAAUAGUGUAUAUUAAAGUUGCUGCGGUUAAAAAGCUCGUAGUUGGAUUUCGGAGUUGUUAUCUGAACCUUCUCGCCAUAAAAAGUGGGGGGGCUAAGGUAGCAGUAGUUUUCAUCAUAGUCCACCAGGAUACUCUCUUGGUGUGUACUGGGUGUUAACCUCCUUUUUUCUGGUACUUGCUAUCCAGCAAUGGGUAGUUUUGUCCAGAUAGUUUACUUUUGAAAAAUUAAGAGUGUUCAAAGCAGGCAUAAAUUGGCAUCAUGAAUA
rnacentral:rRNA from 1 species